AUGGUAAAACUUAUUACCAAAAUUAUUGCUAAUAGCAGUCAAAUAAUAACUAAAGCAUUUAUUGAUGCUUACAAACAAGCACGGAAUAAACCAAAAGUUAACUCUUCUAACAGCAGUAAUGUUGAAUCUGUUGCCACUGAAGCAAAAAAAUGGAUUUUGGGGCGAAGCGUUAGUGUACCCUUAAAAGAAGCCAGACAAAUAUUAAAUGUUAGUGAAAACGCUUCCAAAGAACUCAUUGAAAAAAAUUUUAUGCAUUUAUAUGAAGUUAAUGAAAAAUCUCAUGGAGGAUCUUUUUAUCUUCAAUCAAAAGUUGUUAGAGCUAAGG